UAAUACGGAGGGUGCAAGCGUUAUCCGGAUUCACUGGGUUUAAAGGGUGCGUAGGUGGGUUGGUAAGUCAGUGGUGAAAUCUUCGAGCUUAACUCGGAAACUGCCAUUGAUACUAUCAGUCUUGAAUAUUGUGGAGGUUAGCGGAAUAUGUCAUGUAGCGGUGAAAUGCUUAGAUAUGACAUAGAACACCAAUUGCGAAGGCAGCUGGCUACACAUAUAUUGACACUGAGGCACGAAAGCGUGGGGAUCAAACAGGAUUAGAUACCCUGGUAGUCCACGCCCUAAACUAUGGAUACUCGACAUACGCGAUACACUGUGUGUGUCUGAGCGAAAGCAUUAAGUAUCCCACCUGGGAAGUACGAUCGCAAGAUUGAAACUUAAAGGAAUUGACGG
rnacentral:rRNA from 1 species